rnacentral:rRNA from 1 species
GAUCAUGGCUCAGGAUGAACGCUAGCGACAGGCUUAACACAUGCAAGUCGAGGGGCAGCACGGUGUAGCAAUACACUGGUGGCGACCGGCGCACGGGUGAGUAACACGUGUGCAACCAACCCCGUACCGGGAGAUAACCCGCGGAAACGUGGACUAACAUCCCAUAAGACUCUAGAGCCGCAUGGCUCUGGAUUUAAAAUUCCGGUGGUACGGGACGGGCACGCGCGACAUUAGGUAGUUGGCGGGGGUAACGG